CCUACGGGAGGCAGCAGUAGGGAAUCUUCCGCAAUGGACGAAAGUCUGACGGAGCAACGCCGCGUGAACGAUGAAGGCCUUCGGGUCGUAAAGUUCUGUUGUUAGGGAAGAACAAGUGCUAGUUGAAUAAGCUGGCACCUUGACGGUACCUAACCAGAAAGCCACGGCUAACUACGUGCCAGCAGCCGCGGUAAUACGUAGGUGGCAAGCGUUGUCCGGAAUUAUUGGGCGUAAAGCGCGCGCAGGCGGUUUCUUAAGUCUGAUGUGAAAGCCCCCGGCUCAACCGGGGAGGGUCAUUGGAAACUGGGAAACUUGAGUGCAGAAGAGGAAAGUGGAAUUCCAAGUGUAGCGGUGAAAUGCGUAGAGAUUUGGAGGAACACCAGUGGCGAAGGCGACUUUCUGGUCUGUAACUGACGCUGAGGCGCGAAAGCGUGGGGAGCAAACAGGAUUAGAUACCCUGGUAGUCCACGCUGUAAACGAUGAGUGCUAAGUGUUAGAGGGUUUCCGCCCUUUAGUGCUGAAGUUAACGCAUUAAGCACUCCGCCUGGGGAGUACGGUCGCAAGCUGAAACUUAAUGAAUUGACGG
rnacentral:rRNA from 1 species